CUGAAGUCUGUCGACAGCUCCUCUCUAGGUAGAGGAUAAAAGUCCAGAGACGUGACAUUCGGGUUCUGGCCAGCGUUUUUAAAAGUGGUCCACGGCGGUGGGGGUCGAUGAGGCAGACCUGAGAGACCGGCAGUGAAUCAGCAACCAGUGUCUUGCAGGUUGAAACCAGGUGAUUGGAUCCUGAUCAAAGUACUCCAAAGGAAAAAUUGGAGUUCACCGAGGUGUGGUGAGUAGCACUUGAUAAGGACCUUCCCACCUUGGUGAACUCCAAUUUUUCCUUUGGAGUACUUUGAUCAGGAUCCAAUCACCUGGUUUCAACCUGCAAGACACUGGAGAGAUGUCACUUGGCAGUUGGUUGUUUAGAACAAUCUCUUUAUUUUCAAGUAAUUUAGUCAUCCAUUCGGCUAGUGUAGUUUCUCUUAUUGACUUAUCUAUAGGCUCACUUGUAAUUGG
ensembl:lncRNA